UGUACUACACGUGCACACACUACAGAAUGGAUGCAUAUAACACAAUGCUGUAUACACACAGUCCAGAUCUGUACACACAAAGUGAGGUACGGACACACGCAGCACAGCGCAGACACAGUAUACUAUCCAGUGCGGUGUAACCGGUCCGAGAGCAGGACAAGGAAAGGGUCAGACGCAAAGACGAGCGCGCCACCUUUCUCUCCUCGUUUCGGGUUUUUGGGGAGCUCGGAAGAGAGGCCCUGCUCUCUCCUGGCCUCCUCUCUUUCUCUGGGAAACCCAUUGUGCACCGGGGCAAAAAAACGAUGAACAGAGGCCGGAAAUCGCCGAGGACCAUGUCGACGAAGAAGGUUGGGGAAAAAAAAAACCACGGACAGCGAAUAUAUAUAAAUACAUCUAUUUUUCUUUUUAAAGAAGAAUGCUGUCGGUCUGGAUCCAGUCAGGGAGACAGCAGCUUACAGGCAGAAUUCAUUUCAAAGACUUGGGCGGCCGAGCGCCAGACUGCCUUUGUUAUUAAUAUGAUUCUGAUUAAUCGUCAUUUCUUUCUGGGGUUCGUUUGUUUGGAAAAUGGACACAAACGUUUGGGGGGGUGGGGAGGCGAAGGAGGGGGAGGGAGAGAGAGAGAAAUUUAUCAAAGGGGGCUGUCUUGUGAACCCCGAUCCAGAGCCCCCACAGACAGAUCUCCCUCCUUGUGUGGAAGACUGAUAUUCCUGGGGGGAGGUAGUGGGCCGGGCAGAAUGAUAAAGUAAGGGCGACGCAGCGUGUGAAAGUUAAGACAAAGUGCUUGUGCUGUUGUUGCUGCUGUUGUUGUUCCCCAUUAACACUGAACUGCUGCCCUGAGCUGCGAAAAUGGCCUAAUCCGAACACAGACAAAACAAAAAAACUGUUUUGGAAAAUGAAGAAUAAUUCAGAUGAACCAGCGGCAAAGCCAAGGUGGGGGAAAAAAACAACAACGAAAUUUCAAUUGGACUUGCACCGCCAUCUUAACGCCCGCGGAAAAACAAAACCUGUCAACCGGCCGCCAAACACGUGAGUGAAGCCGGACUCGAGAGAGGCGGGAUUCGGAAGCACUCAAGAUGGCGGCCGAACCGCCGCUCUGCCGACACACGCCGGAGAAACAGGAAACAGGAAACAGGAAACGGAAACGGAAGCCUCCCGACACCCGGGCUCUCUCUGCGCGCCAAAAACACCGGCGCGCGCGCGCGCGCGUCUCCCGGGGCGACAGCAGCAACGGCAACAGCGCGCGACUCGCGCUCCCUCCUCCCCCGGCGGCGUCGAAUUAUAAAUAGAAAUAUAUUUUUUAAAAAAAGGGGGACGAACUAUCGGCUGAGAGGUGUAUUCUGGCUAGUGUGGUUUAUUAUCGUUAUUACCGUUUUAAACACGAAAACAAGGUCUAAUAAUACUUGAUUCACGAUGAAAUCUGCAAUUUAAAAGAGAGAGAGAGAGACGUGAAGUAACCUUCACCUGCAAAUAUCCGAAAACUCGCCCAGUUUAUCCGAGGCGUGUGGAGGACGUGAAAGGGACAUCGUUUUGUUUCUGUUUUGUUUGUUGUUUUUUUUUGCGUGGGGGAUAGGAAGAGAACCGAUGGGGACAGGGAGAGAUGAAGAGACGACGUUCGUGUAAUUUUCCCGUCCAAAUAACUACCUGCCUCCAGAGCCCUCGAAACGCAAAAUAUAAUUUCCAACCCGGGAAGACUUUUUUUUUUCCGCCUCUUCCGCGGGGGGGGGGCUCGCUAAUUGGCGCGGGAGCGCGAUGGCGGACCCGUCAAGGGCGGGACGGGCGGGACCUUUAUAACCCCGGGCGGCGGGCGGACAGCCGGAGCAGAACCGGGGUCCGAGCGCUCUCGCCUGCAUCCUCCGGCCUCCCGCGCGUGGAAUGAACCCCGGGCUCCCCCGCCACGGGUGUCGGCUGGCGUUUUAGCCCCCGCGUGAGGACGAGUCGCGCCCGCUGGCUGUGGACCGGAGACACGAAACAGAAGAAACAAGUCCACCCGGUCAGCGUGAUGUCCGCCUGACCCGGGGGGCUCUGAGCAGCGGGGAGCCGGUCCAGCUUCUGGUCCCCAGCCGAAGUUUCGCCUUUUUCCGCCUCGAAGAGGCGCCAGCGACCCGUUUCCCUCGCCUGGUCCGGGUUCGGAGCUCGGUUCGGCGGGCCGGGCUGAGGGGCAGGUUUCAGCAUCAUGGGGCUCUUCCGAGACCGAGAGACACACAGAAUGUUUGGGCAACUCUUCCUCAUCCUCUUCCUCAUCCUCACGCUGGGCUGUCAGUCCUCCCAGACAAGAAUGUUGAAAUUUGUCGUAGCUGUGUUUCGUCAUGGUGAUCGAUCUCCAAUUGAAUCGUACCCUACGGACCCUCACAGAGACACAGCCUGGCCACAGGGGUAUGGACAGCUGACUGAGGUACUUCUGGUACAAAUGUCUAUGUGACUGACUUGUCUGUACUGUUAAUAUGAAUGUACAUUAAUUUCUCCAUCGUGAUCACUGCAGUGUCAAAGUACUGGUCUCACUUUCUAAGCAACAAAAUAAACACAUUGGGGGGAAAACUACACCUCCCAGCAUGCCACACAGGAGACAGUGGCAAUGAAGGUGGUUCUGGGAGCU